rnacentral:rRNA from 1 species
ACUCUGAUGCAGCGAUGCCGCGUGAGUGAAGAAGGCCUUUGGGUUGUAAAGCUCUUUCGUCGGGGAAGAAAAUGACUGUACCCGAAUAAGAAGGUCCGGCUAACUUCGUGCCAGCAGCCGCGGUAAUACGAAGGGACCUAGCGUAGUUCGGAAUUACUGGGCUUAAAGAGUUCGUAGGUGGUUGAAAAAGUUGGUGGUGAAAUCCCAGAGCUUAACUCUGGAACUGCCAUCAAAACUUUUCAGCUAGAGUAUGAUAGAGGAAAGCAGAAUUUCUAGUGUAGAGGUGAAAUUCGUAGAUAUUAGAAAGAAUACCAAUUGCGAAGGCAGCUUUCUGGAUCAUUACUGACACUGAGGAACGAAAGCAUGGGUAGCGAAGAGGAUUAGAUACCCUCGUAGUCCAUGCCGUAAACGAUGUGUGUUAGACGUUGGAAAUUUAUUUUCAGUGUCGCAGCGAAAGCGAUAAACACACCGCCUGGGGAGUACGACCGCAAGGUUAAAACUCAAAUGAAUUGACGGGGACCCGCACAAGUAGUGGAGCAUGUGGUUUAAUUCGAAGAUACGCGCAGAACCUUACCAACACUUGACAUGUUCGUCGCGACUUUAAGAGAUUAAAGUUUUCGGUUCGGCCGGACGAAACACAGGUGCUGCAUGGCUGUCGUCAGCUCGUGUCGUGAGAUGUUGGGUUAAGUCCCGCAACGAGCGCAACCCUCACUUUUAGUUGCCAUCAUUUAGUUGGGCACUCUGAAAGAACUGCCAGUGAUAAGCUGGAGGAAGGUGGGGAUGACGUCAAGUCCUCAUGGCCCUUACGUGUUGGGCUACACACGUGCUACAAUGGUAUCUACAACAGGAAGCAAAACUGCGAAGUUAAGCAAAUCCUUAAAAGAUACCUCAGUUCGGAUUGCACUCUGCAACUCGAGUGCAUGAAGCUGGAAUUACUAGUAAUCG